CCCUGAAGUCGCUGGACGUUGUGAGGAACACAUCCGGAGCAGAAGACACAGGUGGCUGGUCAUGGAGAGCCCGCUGGGGGAAGAGCACACGGACAGGCACCGGCAGGCCAUUGACCAGCGAGACAAGGUGGAGUUUGGCUGGGGCAGUGAGAGGAGAGCUGGGGCCGCCGAGCUGCCCUACUCCAGGUGAGCUCAAUGUCAUCACAAGGGCCCUUAAGAGGGAAAGAGCAAGCCAUAAGGGUCAGAGUCAAAGGAAGACUUGAAGAUACUACACUGCAGACUUUAAAGAUGAAGGAAGGGGCAAAAGCCAAGAAUGUGGGAAGCCUCUAGAAGCUAGAGAAGGCAAGGAAACAGAUUUUCCCCUAGAGCCUCCAGAAGGAACACAGCCCUGCUGACCCGUUGUAAUGUCUGAUCUCUAGAUGUGUAAGGGUAGUAGGACCGAAAGUCUCAGAAAGGCACUGUUACAUUCUUAUUCCACAACCAUGAAACUCAAAAGUGGGGUCCUCAGCAGUGAGUGAGGGGCGAGAGAAGACACUGUAUAAACAUGGCACAUCCUCCUGGAAAGUCAACUUUACUGAAAGGCUGCAGGCCGUAUUAUGCUAAAUCAAGGAUACGGGGAGAUAAUUAACAUAGCAACUCUGGCAAGUUUAAUAGGUUCUUAACACACAGUGACAGCUAGCAGAGUCUAAAG